UGUUUGUGUCAUGCAAGUUGCCUGCAUUACAAUCCUUGGGUGGAUGCAAGAUACUUCGUGCACCGAGCUACCCAUUUUUCUUAUCAUGUAAGCUUUAUGAAAACAUUUUUUGUCAUUGAUCUUUUUGUUUGUUUCUUGAUGUUAUAUGUCAUCAGUGCUUCCCAUGUAAAACAUUUAUUGUUUUAAUUGCUAGUUGUAUUCAUGUUAAUUCCUCUAACAAUUUUAAAGAAAUUAU
rnacentral:lncRNA from 1 species